GACGAACGCUGGCGGCGUGCUUAACACAUGCAAGUCGAACGGUAAGGCCCCUUCGGGGGUACACGAGUGGCGAACGGGUGAGUAACACGUGGGUAAUCUGCCCUGCACUUCGGGAUAAGCCUGGGAAACCGGGUCUACUACCGGAUAUGAGCUCUCACCGCCUGGUGGGGGCUGGAAAGUUUUUUCGGUGAAGGAUGAGCCCCCGGCCUAUCAGCUUGUUGGUGGGGUAAUGGCCUACCAAGGCGACGACGGGUAGCCGGCCUGAGAGGGUGAUCGGCCACACUGGGACUGAGACACGGCCCAGACUCCUACGGGAGGCAGCAGUGGGGAAUAUUGCACAAUGGGCGGAAGCCUGAUGCAGCGACGCCGCGUGGGGGAUGACGGUCUUCGGAUUGUAAACCCCUUUCAGUAGGGACGAAGCGCAAGUGACGGUACCUGCAGAAGAAGCACCGGCCAACUACGUGCCAGCCGCCGCCGUAA
rnacentral:rRNA from 1 species